rnacentral:rRNA from 1 species
AGCGAACGCUGGCGGCAGGCCUAACACAUGCAAGUCGAACGAACUCUUCGGAGUUAGUGGCGGACGGGUGAGUAACACGUGGGAACGUGCCUUUUGGUUCGGAAUAACUCAGGGAAACUUGUGCUAAUACCGAAUGUGCCCUUCCGGGGAAAGAUUUAUCGCCAUUAGGGCGGCCCGCGUCUGAUUAGCUAGUUGGUGAGGUAACGGCUCACCAAGGGGACGAUCAGUAGCUGGUCUGAGAGGAGGACCAGCCACACUGGGACUGAGACACGGCCCAGAAUCCUACGGGAGGCAGGAGUGGGGAAUCUUGCGCAAUGGGCGAAAGCCUGACGCAGCCAGGCCGCGUGAAUGAUGAAGGUCUUAGGAUUGUAAAAUUCUUUCACCGGGGACGAUAAUGACGGUACCCGGAGAAGAAGCCCCGGCUAACUUCGUG